rnacentral:rRNA from 1 species
GCGUCCGAUCAGGUUGUUGGUGAGGUAACGGCUCACCAAGCCUAUAACCGGUACGGGCCGUGAGAGCGGUAGCCCGGAGAUGGGCACUGAGACAAGGGCCCAGGCCCUACGGGGCGCAGCAGUCGCGAAAACUCCGCAAUGCACGAAAGUGUGACGGGGCUACCCCGAGUGCCGUCCGCUGAGGAUGGCUUUUCCUCGGUGUAACUAGCCGGGGGAAUAAGGAGAGGGCAAGACUGGUGUCAGCCGCCGCGGUAAUACCAGCUCUCCGAGUGGUAGGGAUGAUUAUUGGGCUUAAAGCGUCCGUAGCCGGCUUAGCAAGUCUCCUGUUAAAUUCAGCGACCUAAUCGUUGAGCCGCGGGAGAUACUACUAGGCUAGGAGGCGGGAGAGGCCGACGGUACUUCCGGGGUAGGGGUGAAAUCCUAUAAUCCCGGGCGGACCACCAGUGGCGAAGGCUGUCGGCUAGAACGCGCUCGACGGUGAGGGACGAAAGCUGGGGUAGCGAACCGGAUUAGAUACCCGGGUAGUCCCAGCCGUAAACGAUGCGGGCUAGGUGUUGGGGUGGCUACGUGCCACUUCAGUGCCGCAGGGAAACCAUUAAGCCCGCCGCCUGGGGAGUACGGCCGCAAGGCUGAAACUUAA